GCAUCAUUUGCAUAUACAUGUGUUGGGCUACAAGCUCUGAAAAAACAGUGUAAAGUGAGCGUUGAGAGGGUAACUGAAUUCCAUGGCCCAACUGCUACAUUCUGCUAGGCGGCAGAGCAAGGCCAAUAAAAUGGAUGACCAAGGCGAAUCUAGCGAUUCGGGUUCCUUGGUUGUAGUUGUAGAGAUGGCCAAGGAACUCAGCCGCAACCUAGCCACCUUGAAGUCAUUCAAGCCCCAACAAAAGGACCGCAUCAUGGUCGCCAAGGUCCGCCACCUCACGCGCAACGUCUGCAAGAGCGAGUAUGAUCCUGAUCACGUCUCCAUCGGCCCGUACAACCACCAUCGGCAACUCCCGACGCAGCAUGACAAGCUGAGAAGCCUCGACGCCGUACUCUCGUGGGCGAAACACGGGCACGGCACGACGGUGGAGGGCUACGUCAACGAGCUGGCCUGCCUGGAGCCCAAGGCGAGGAGUUGCUACAACAACACCUUCGAUGACAUUCCCAAAGACCAAUUCGUGCGCAUGCUCUUGCUCGAUGGCUGCUACAUAGUCGACCGCUUCGUCAACUUCGAAGAACAACCCACCACGAACGAUGAGGGGACUGCUGCUGCCAAUGGUAGUAGCAUCCCGUCGGUGGUCGCCGCCUCCCCUGACUUGCAAGAACAACCCACCAUGAACGAUGCGGGGGCUGCCGCCAAUGGUAGUAGCAUCCCGUCGGCGGUCGCCGCCUCCCCUGACUUCCAAGAACAACCCACCACGAACGUCCCGUCGGCGGUCGCCGCCUCCCCUGACAUCCAAGAACAACCCACCACGAACGAUGAGGGGACUUCUGCCAAUGCUAGUAGCAUCCCGUCGGCGUCCGCGGCCGAGCUCGAAUAUUUGGAGUUGGUGCGCGACGUGUUCUUCCUCGCGGAGAACCAGAUACCGUUCUUCGUCCUUGAGAAGAUCGGCGAGCUGGCAGUGCCGCACGGUAGGGCUCAUGUGGGUAGAUGGAUCGCGGGUCAUGCCCGUGAUCUCAUGAACGACCAAAUGUACACAGCCGCAGCGCCGGGGCCGGCCAUGGUGCCUCCCGAGCUGACGAUGCCAGGCAAUCUUCUCCAUCUUGUGCAUAUGCAGCUGAAGCCUGAAGCUGGCCUCUUUCCAGGCGCCACAAGAAUCAGUGCCGCCGAUGAAUCUGCGUCGGUGGGCAGGUGGCGCACGGCGACGGAGUACAGCUACGCGGGGGUGAAGUUCAAGGUCCGGGCCAUGAGCGAGAAUGAGGGCGUGCGUAGCAUUCUGGACGUGAAGCUGGAUAGCAGCGGCGGCACGCUGGAAGUGCCCUGUCUGGACAUCGACAACGAGACGUGGCGGCUGCUGCGCAACCUGAUGGAGCUGGAGCAGCGGAACCGGGACACUGUGGGGAGCAACGUGACGGCGUACUGCGUCUUCAUGUCCCAGCUGGCGAGCGACAGGAAGGACGUGGAGCUGCUGCGGAAGAGAGGCGUCAUCGUGCACGCCCAAGGCAAUGACGGCGAGGUGGCCCAGUGCUUCGCCGACCUCUGCAAGGGGAUCAUGUUCAAUCCUAACAACCCGGCCAUCGAUUACCUGUGGGGGACACGCCAGAAGCUCGACAGGAGGUCCCGGAGCUACCCUCGGAGGUGGAUGGCGUGGCUAAGGCGAAAGUACUUUGCCAACCCAUGGCUCGCCGUUGGGCUCCUGGCGGCCGCCAUUGGGCUAGUCUGCGCACUCGUCCAAGCACUCUACUCUGUUUUCAGUUACAAACAUGGACGGAACUAGAAAUCAAACAUCAUGUCGUUAGGGGUGGGCGGUAUGUUGAUCCGCCUCAUCUUGGUUUAGACUUUAGAGUCAUGGUACUGAGGCUGCCGGUCUUGGUAGUGACGCGGUCUUGAUGUUCUAUGCCUCCUCUCUUCGCCAUUAGGAGGGCUGGGCGUUGGGGGCAAGGCAAACGUUCGUUAUGUGGUUGCUUGGGGGCGUAUGCAUGGUUCGCCACCAAAGGCCAUGCAGCUGGGCUCGACAAUGAUCACGUCGACCAAUCUGUCUAAGGGAGGUAAUACACAUGUUUCUACCCCGGUUGGUAAGCACGAGGAGGUGCCGAAGAUGAUGCAGUAUACCCAUGAGCAAAUUGUUGCUUUUGGGGGGAUUCAGGAGGAGGCGAGGCGCAAGGUGCGGUCGAGUGGAAGACUGUGGACUCAGCCUAAUGCCGAUAUGACUCAAAUGGAGAGGGUGAUGAUGAUCGCAAAGAAACGCGUGGAGACGCCAGUGAUAGGCAUGUCUACCUCGAAACCAACCUCCAUUACGUCUUUUUCGGAGGAUCAAAUUAUUGAUAAUGCUAUGUCACUGGGGGUUUCUUUGGGUGUUUCUCAUUCUGAUUGCAUUAAGUCAUCUAAGUUAAUAAAAGAUUAUGAGAUACAGAGAUCACUUACUAUGUUAAAAUGUAAUGAUCAAUCGAAAAAAAUCAUGAGAAUGCUUCUCUUUUUUU